AGCAGCCGCGGUAAUACGUAGGGAGCGAGCGUUGUCCGGAUUUAUUGGGCGUAAAGAGCUCGUAGGCGGUUUGGUAAGUCUCGUUGUGAAAGCCCGCGGCUCAACCGCGGGACUGCAGGGGAUACUGGGGGGCUGGAGACAGGUAGAGGCGAGCGGAAUUCCGGGUGUAGCGGUGGAAUGCGUAGAGAUCCGGAAGAACACCAGAGGCGAAGGCGGCUCGCUGGACCUUGUCUGACGCUGAGGUGCGAAAGCGUGGGGAGCG
rnacentral:rRNA from 1 species